UGGAAAUCAUAUUCCCAAAUGUUGAUAUUCGAAUUCAUAUUAAAAGCUAGUUUGGAAACUAUAGUUUUAUCCGAUUGAUCAAUCAAUUUUCUAAAAUUAAGCUCGUUUUUUAUUUGGCUGUAUAUAUACAUGUUGAAAGAAAGAAUACAAUAAUACAUAAAUAAUUAAUGGAGUGACAGAUGAACCGCCAAGAAGGAACAUAUUCAAAUGAAUGGUAAAUCGAGGAAUUAAGAUAACUAUAAUUAACAUUUGCUUCAAUGCUUAAUCAUUUUUAUUCGAUACACGAACAUCACUCACUUCUCGAUAAAUUGUAUAAUUGAAAUGAAGCGCCAACCAAGAAUUGUACCAAACUGUUUGCCCCGAUAAGCGCUUAUCUUAAUUGUCGCGUCCACCUCAAUGAUACGGCUGCAGUCGACCCACAGUGUGCGGUAUAACCAUACCCCGGAGCUCAUUUCUAGUGUGACGGUACAGCCCUAACGGACCUACAAGCUGAUAGCUGCCGUACCCACGGUCAUAAAUAACCCACUUUACAUUUUAAACAAAAGGAAAAUAAAAAUAAAAGUACCGCUUAUCAAUAAGCCAUGAAUCGUUUGCACGUUAGGUGUACCCAUACCCAGACACCGAGUCAAUUGGCAGCCGAUUUGAUUUUUGCCUGAUUUAGUGCUCAGUGUUCAAAGAACUUUCAACAAAUUUGCACGCUCUACAGGGGAUAGCACUGAGAAAAAUAAUGGGUUGUUGUUUGGGUAAGUUAUAAACACUUAUCUGCCCCGGAUUAAACAUAAACAACGAGGUCUAACUGAAAAUCAUUGACAGCCACAAGUAAAUCUGUGGAUUUACCUCCUGUUCCCCCGGCACCGGGCAAGCAGCGUUCCACACUGCCGGAGUUCCCUGUACCCACCACAUCUGCCCCAACAAGAGGAGGAGGAGGACCCAGUGGCGUUACGAAUGCUGCUCUGGAGGAUGACUAGCUAGCCAAUUAACAACUCAAUAAAGUAGAACCGAUUACGUAGAAGAAAAAAGUUGAAACUGCCAAAUGGGAAAAAAGUUCGCAUGAGUCAUGCCCAUGCGGCACGCGACUCUCGCUGUAACGCUCAGUUCUAAGGACCAACUGUAUUUUUACUUUAAAUAGAUUAUUUGUUUUCUUAAAACUAACUUAAUUGUGAACUAAAGAAUAUUUAAAACAAAAUUUUGAAAUUGAAUCGAGGCGUCAUCUGGCGCCUUUUUAUCGCAGUAUCAUAAAACGUUCAGAGCGAUCUAGCGUCUUUUUAUUGUAUCUCUCAGUUUCAUACGUAGCGUUUCAUGCCCACUAAUGUUUUCUGGUUUAAUUUUCCUUUGAUCUUUUAAGUUUCAACCAUGUUUUUACGCAACAAAGAGAGUUCUAAAAACUAGCCCUUCUUAU
rnacentral:lncRNA from 1 species